GACGAAGGCGGCUAGCGUUGUUCGGAAUUCCUGGGCUAAAAGCGCACGCAGGCAGCUUAUCAAGCGUCUUGUGAAAUCCCUCGUCUCAACCGAGGAAUCGCUGGGCGAACUGAUAGGCUUGAGGCAGGUAGGGGCGAGUGGAACUCUUGGUGGAGCGGUGGAAAGCGUACAUAUCAAGAGGAACGCCAGAGGUGAAGACGACUCGCUGGGCCUGUCCUGACGCUGAGUUGCGAAAGCCAGGGGAGCAAACGGG
rnacentral:rRNA from 1 species